UGUGAGAUGUUUAUGAUGCCCUCACCGUGGUGGUUUCCUUCCAGCCCCCAGUUGCUCUCUGGUCCCAGCCCUCCAUUUCCGUGACUGUUUCCCUGAAGUGCUUGCAUUAUACCCUUGUGCAAUACUCUUUUUGGUUUUUUUUUGAGAUGGAGUCUCACUCUGUCACCCAGGCUGGAGUGCAGUGAUGCGAUCUCAGCUCACUGCCACCGCCACCUCCCAGGUUGAAGCUAUUCUCAUGCUUCAGCCUCCUGAGUAGCUGGGAUUACAAGUGCCUGCCACUAUGCCCAGCUAAAGGUUUUUUGUUUUUGUUUUUGUGUUCUUUGAGAUGGAAUCUCACUCUGUCGCCCAGGCUGGAGUGCGGUGGCAUGAUCUCAGCUCACUGCAACCUCCACCUCCCGGGUUCAAGCAAUUCUGCCUCAGCCUCCCAAGUAACUGGGACUACAGGCACGUGCCACCAUGCCCAGCUAAUUUUUUUUUUUUUUUUUGAGACGGAGUCUCGCUCUGUCACCCAGGCUGGAGUGCAGUGGUGCAAUCUUGGCUCACUGCAAGCUCUGCCUCGCGGGUUCACGCCAUUCUCCUGCCUCAGCCUUCCAGGUAGCUGGGACUACCGGCUCCCACCACCACGCCAGCUAAUUUUUUGUAUUUUUAGUAGAGACGGGGUUUCACCGUGUUAGCCAGGAUAGUCUCAAUCUCCUGACCUCGUGAUCCGCCCGCCUCGGCCUCCCAAAGUGCUGGGAUUACAGGCAUGAGCCACUGCGCCUGGCCAGCCAGCUAAUUUUUGUAUUUUUAGUAGAGACAAGGUUUUACCAUGUUGGCCAGGCUGGUCUUGAACUCCUAACCUCAAGUGAUUUGCCCACCUCAGCCUCCCAAAGUGCUGGGAUUCCAGGCAUGACCUGCUGUGCCUAGUUGCCUUGUGCAAUACUCUUGUGGCAUAUUUGCUACACCUCCUGAACUUUGAUCAGUUUGCCUUUUACCAGCUAUUAUGACUCAAAAUUGUCCCCUAGAACAUGGAAUAAUGGCAGAAAGAAAGUGUGUGGUUGAAUAAACACACAGAUUGGCAUCCACCGUUGAAACAGGAAAACAUGUUAUGCUGCUGCUGUUGUGAGGGCUGAUGGGCCUUGAGAGAAAUGUAUUUCCUGCACUAUGUGUGUGUGAGUGUGUGUGAUUAUACUUUUUGGCCUCACAGCCCCAUCAUCCCUUUCUAAUAAGGUCACGUCUAUAAGGGGCUUAGGAUUGCAUCUGGCCUGUGUAAGCCCUCUGAGUUCUGCGGUUCUUAGAGUUCCCUUUUCAGCACUACAGCUCUGCCUUGUUCCCUUGUUCCUCCUUCUGGCGCCCCGUCCUGUGCCCCCUGCAGGAGUCCAAGCUGUCCCCGUGCUGCGUUCUGGUCCGGCCGCCCCUCCCGUGGUGUGGCCCUGGCUGACCCCCCUCCUGCACCCCGCUUCUCUUGCAGAAGCUGCUCUUUGCCGGCUCCCAUUCUCAGCUGGUGCAGCUGCCCGUGGCCGACUGCAUGAAGUAUCGCUCCUGUGCAGACUGUGUCCUCGCCCGGGACCCCUAUUGCGCCUGGAGCGUCAACACCAGCCGCUGUGUGGCCGUGGGUGGCCACUCUGGAUCUCUACUGAUCCAGCAUGUGAUGAUCUCGGACACUUCAGGCAUCUGCAACCUCCGUGGCGGUAAGAAAGUCAGGCCCACUCCCAAAAACAUCACGGUGGUGGCGGGCACAGACCUGGUGCUGCCCUGCCACCUCUCCUCCAACUUGGCCCAUGCCCGCUGGACCUUUGGGGGCCGGGACCUGCCUGCGGAACAGCCCGGGUCCUUCCUCUACGAUGCCCGGCUCCAGGCCCUGGUUGUGAUGGCCGCCCAGCCCCGCCACGCCGGGGCCUAUCACUGCUUUUCAGAGGAGCAGGGGGCGCGGCUGGCUGCUGAAGGCUACCUUGUGGCUGUCGUGGCAGGCCCGUCGGUGACCUUGGAAGCCCGGGCCCCCCUGGAAAACCUGGGGCUGGUGUGGCUGGCGGUGGUGGCCCUGGGGGCCGUGUGCCUGGUGCUGCUGCUGCUGGUGCUGUCAUUGCGCCGGCGGCUGCGGGAAGAGCUAGAGAAAGGGGCCAAGGCUACUGAGAGGACCUUGGUGUACCCCCUGGAGCUGCCCAAGGAGCCCACCAGUCCCCCCUUCCGGCCCUGUCCUGAACCAGAUGAGAAACUUUGGGAUCCUGUCGGCUACUACUAUUCAGAUGGCUCCCUUAAGAUAGUACCUGGGCACGCCCGGUGCCAGCCCGGCGGGGGGCCCCCUUCGCCACCUCCAGGCAUCCCAGGCCAGCCUCUGCCUUCUCCAACUCGGCUUCACCUGGGGGGUGGGCGGAACUCAAAUGCCAAUGGUUACGUGCGCUUACAACUAGGAGGGGAGGACCGGGGAGGGCUCGGGCACCCCCUGCCUGAGCUCGCGGAUGAACUGAGACGCAAACUGCAGCAACGCCAGCCACUGCCCGACUCCAACCCCGAGGAGUCAUCAGUAUGAGGGGAACCCCCACCGCGUCGGCGGGAAGCGUGGGAGGUAUAGCUCCUACUUUUGCACAGGCACCAGCUACCUCAGGGACAUGGCACGGGCACCUGCUCUGUCUGGGACAGAUACUGCCCAGCACCCACCCGGCCAUGAGGACCUGCUCUGCUCAGCACGGGCACUGCCACUUGGAGUGGCUCACCAGGGCACCAGCCUCGCAGAAGGCAUCUUCCUCCUCUCUGUGAAUCACAGACACGCGGGACCCCAGCUGCCAAAACUUUUAAAGGCAGAAGUUUCAAGAUGUGUGUGUUUGUAUUUGCACGUGUGUUUGUGUGUGUGUGUAUGUGUGUGUGCACGCGUGUGUGCGCUUGUGGCAUAGCCUUCCUGUUUCUGUCAAGUCUUCCCUUGGCCUGGGUCCUCCUGGUGAGUCAUUGGAGCUAUGAAGGGGAAGGGGUCGUAUCACUUUGUCUCUCCAACCCCCACUGUCCCGAGUGUCGGGCAGCGAUGUACAUAUGGGGGUGGGGUGGACAGGGUGCUGUGCCCCUUCAGGGGGAGUGCAGGGCUCGGGGUGGGCCUAGUCCUGCUCCUAGGGCUGUGAAUGUUUUCAGGGUGGGGGGAGGGAGAUGGAGCCUCCUGUGUGUUUUGGGGGAAGGGUGGGUGGGGCCUCCCACUUGGCCCCGGGGUUCAGUGGUAUUUUAUAGUUGCCUUCUUCCUGUACAGGGCUGGGAAAGGCUGUGUGAGGGGAGAGAAGGGAGAGAGGGUGGGCCUGUUGUGGACAAUGGCAUACUCUCUUCCAGCCCUAGGAGGAAGGCUCCUAACGGUGUAACUUAUUGUGUCCCCGCGUAUUUAUUUGUUGUAAAUAUUUGAGUAUUUUUAUAUUGACAAAUAAAAUGGAG
rnacentral:sRNA from 1 species